rnacentral:misc_RNA from 1 species
GAUGAAGAACGUAGCGAAAUGCGAUACUUGGUGUGAAUUGCAGAAUCCCGUGAACCAUCGAGUCUUUGAACGCAAGUUGCGCCCGAAGCCAUCAGGUUGAGGGCACGUCUGCCUGGGCGUCACAUAUCGUUGCCCAAUGCCUAUUGCAGUGCAAUAGGAAUUUCUAGGGCGAAUGAUGGCUUCCCGUGAGCGUUGUUGCCUCGCGGUUGGUUGAAAAUCGAGUCCUUGGUAGGGUGUGCCAUGGUAGAUGGUGGUCGAGUUAGAACGAUACCGAUCAUGUGCAUGCUCCCCAAAAUAUGGCCUCUAUGACCCACACGCGUUUUUUGACGCUCAUGACGAGACCUCAGGUCAGGCGGGGCUACCCGCUGAAUUUAAGCAUAUCAAUAAGCGGAGGA